GAUGAACGCUAGCGGGAGGCCUAACACAUGCAAGCCGAGCGGUAGAGAUUCUUCGGGAUCUUGAGAGCGGCGUACGGGUGCGGAACACGUGUGCAACCUGCCUUUAUCAGGGGGAUAGCCUUUCGAAAGGAAGAUUAAUACCCCAUAAUAUAUUGAUUGGCAUCAAUUAAUAUUGAAAACUCCGGUGGAUAGAGAUGGGCACGCGCAAGAUUAGAUAGUUGGUAGGGUAACGGCCUACCAAGUCAAUGAUCUUUAGGGGGCCUGAGAGGGUGAUCCCCCACACUGGUACUGAGACACGGACCAGACUCCUACGGGAGGCAGCAGUGAGGAAUAUUGGACAAUGGGUGGGAGCCUGAUCCAGCCAUCCCGCGUGAAGGACGACGGCCCUAUGGGUUGUAAACUUCUUUUGUAUAGGGAUAAACCUUUCCACGUGUGGAGAGUUGAAGGUACUAUACGAAUAAGCACCGGCUAACUCCGUGCCAGCCGCCGCGGUAA
rnacentral:rRNA from 1 species